GACGAACGCUGGCGGCGUGCUUAACACAUGCAAGUCGAACGGAAAGGCCCUGCUUUUGUGGGGUGCUCGAGUGGCGAACGGGUGAGUAACACGUGAGUAACCUGCCCUUGACUUUGGGAUAACUUCAGGAAACUGGGGCUAAUACCGGAUAGGAGCUCCUGCUGCAUGGUGGGGGUUGGAAAGUUUCGGCGGUUGGGGAUGGACUCGCGGCUUAUCAGCUUGUUGGUGGGGUAGUGGCUUACCAAGGCUUUGACGGGUAGCCGGCCUGGGAGGGUGACCGGCCACAUUGGGACUGAGAUACGGCCCAGAAUCCUACGGGAGGCAGCAGUGGGGGAUAUUGCACAAUGGGCGGAAGCCUGAUGCAGCAACGCCGCGUGCGGGAUGACGGCCUUCGGGUUGUAAACCGCUUUCGCCUGUGACGAAGCGUGAGUGACGGUAAUGGGUAAAGAAGCACCGGCUAACUACGUG
rnacentral:rRNA from 1 species